AUAACUUCUGCGAGCAUCUGCCAAGGAUGUUUUCAUUAAUCAAGAACGAAAGUUAGGGGAUCGAAGACGAUCAGAUACCGUCGUAGUCUUAACCAUAAACGAUGCCGACCAGCGAUUAGGAGACGUUGAAUACAAAACACCACCAUUGGUGCGGUCGUCCUUGGCAUUUGGUCGUGGCGCGAGUCACGGCCAGGUGCGGGGACGGUUUAGCCUGAUGGAUUUCGGUGAAUG
rnacentral:rRNA from 1 species